CAAAAUAUAGUUUAUAAAAGCACCUAAUUUGGGGUUAGGAGAUGAGUUAUCUUUUUUGA
rnacentral:tRNA from 1 species